GAGGCAGAGGUUACAGUGAGUCGAGAUCAUGCCACUGCACUCCAACCUGGUAACAGAGCAAGACUCCAUCUCAAAAAAUAACAAAAAACCUUCUCCAGGCAGCUGCCUUCUGAUGAUGCCCCCCUCCCCAGGUGAAACGUGGGAGACCCCGAACUCCUGCCUGACCCUAAAGUGCCAUGUGACCCUGCCCCCACACUACUCUGGCCACACUGAUUGUCCUCUGAGUCACGCUGCUCCCUGUGCCUGGGUUUUUGCUGUUCCUUGUCUCAAACCCUCCCCUCCCUCUUUUUGCCUCCAUCUCAUCCUCUGCCUGCCCAGCACCCACCUCCUGGUCAUUUAAGGUGUAGCUCAGGCCAUAAUCCCAGCACUUUAGGAGGCCAGGGCCAGAGGAUCACUUCAUCCCAAAAGCUUGAGGCCAACCUGGGCAACAUAGUGAGACCCUCCCUAACUCCACAAAAGAUGUGAAAGAUGUAGCUCAGGCAUUACCUACCUCCAGGUAGCCUUCCUGAUGGUGCCAUCCCCAGGUGGGCUCAGGGGCAGCCUCUUCUCUGGGCAUCAGGAGCUGCCUCUCAGUGGUCGCAGGUCAGCUCCUGCAGGAGUCCAGGCACAGGAUGACAGUGGAUGGAUCAGGACUUGAGGGUCAGAGAUGCGGAGAGGCAGACAGCUUUGGGACGCAGUUGGCGGGAUCAGUGGGAUUUGCUGCAGGGUGACUGUCAGGGUGUAGGGGAGAAUUCCGGACCAGCCGUGUCUUCAUCUCUCUCUUCCCUCCAAUCCCAGGAAAGCAAACAAAACAGAAGGACUUGCGGACCCGACUCACCAGCUCCAUCCUCAGGAACUCGAGGACCAUCAAGUGCCAUGGCUGCGAGGGAGCCUUUCUGGACAGAGUCCUGUGCAUCCGAGCUCCUAUGAAUAACGCUGUGCCGAGACCAGCUCAGCCUCGGAGACCCCAACUUAUGUGGCACUGAAGGAAUUAAGAAACAGACACGGAGAUAGCAAAAGGUGGGUACAGAGUGGAGCACCAGGGGUCUCACAGCAUUUCCAGCUGAGAGUUCAGAGCAGACUCUGACCUAUGUAUUUAUUCUUGACUUUCCAGUGACAAGUUUUACAAGCAGAUGCUCUCUGCUCUUUCAUUGGUUAAAGGUAAACUAACCAGGCAGCUCGUGUGUGUUUACUAUAGGUUAAAGACAAACUAGAAAGCGCUCUUUACAAGGGAACAAAGGAAAGGGUCACACAUCCUGUGUUCACAGAGCUAAUUCAUCUGGCGUGAGGCAUAAUUAUACUGGAUACUGUGUUAUAGUGCUCUGAGCAGUUUGCUGCUUUGGGGGCAGUUUUCCACUUUGGGUGGCCGACUAGGUUUCCCUUGCCGCCUCUCUCAAUAGGAUUUCUCAGCAAACAAUAUGAUUUCUCACACAUGUCAGAAUUUGCUCUCAACAACCCUGCUAUGAACAUCAGUGUAUAAAUGUGUGAGGCCCUUUGAAUUGUAGAGAGUACACACCCAGAAGUGGAAAUGCUGGAUUAUAUGGUAAUCCUUGUUUUGAGACAGAGUCUCGCUCUCUCACCCAGGCUGUAAUGCAGUGGUACAGUCUUGGCUGACUGCAACCUCUGGCUCCUGGGUUCAAGCAAUUCUUAACCCUCAGCCUCCCGAGUAGCUGGGAUUACAGGCCUGCACCGCCACGCGUGGCUAGUUUGUUUUUAGUAGAGAUGGAUUUCACCACAUUGGCCAGACUGGUCUUGAACUCCUAGCCUCAAGUGAUUCACCUGCCCCGGCCUCACAAAGUGCUGGGAUUACAAGUGUGUGUCACCACGCCUGGCCUGUUUUUAACUUUUUGAUGAAAAGUUUAAACACUGUUUUCCAUAGCUAAGCUCCAUUUUAAAUUCCCAGUAAGAGUACACACGGCUUCCAAUAGCUCAGCAUUCUCGCUAACACUUUAUUUUCUGUAUGGAUUACAACCAUCCUAAUAAGACUGAGGUGGCCUCUCCAUGUAGGUCUUCUUUCUUUUCUUUUUUUGAGAUGGAGUCUCGCUCUGUAAUUCAGGCUACAGUGCAGCGGUUACAAUCUUGGCUCACUGCAAUCUCCACCUCCCCGGUUCAAGCAAUUCUCCUGCCUCAGCCUCCUGAGCGUCUGGGACUUCAGGCACAUGGCACCACACCCAGGCACUAGGUGGAAGGAUCACAUGAAGUCAGGAGUUCGAGACAGCCUGGCCAACAUGGUGAAACCCCGUCUCUACUAAAAAUACAAAAACAUGGUGGUGGAUGCCUGUAAUACCAACUACUUGGGAGGCUGCACACUGUACUCCAGCCUGGAGGACAGAGCAAGAUCCUGUCUCAAAAAGAUUCUCCAACCUUCCCGUGGAGCCACACCACCUCCUGUCUUGGCACUUCAUGAGUCCAAUGCUGUUUCCCGAGAGGAUCUGGUUGGUAGACCGUGACCUCGAUUCCUGCCUCUAAGCCUAGCUUUAUUCUCAGCAGCCACCACCUUUUUGGUACUAGAACAGUGCUUUUUAUAGUGCACUCAUCAGUGGAUGCUGAAAUCACAACCUGGCCAUUUGGAUGUUCAACUAAUGCUCUAUGCUGCAGAGUCCCUGCAACUCACCAACCUGUGCCGGAACUCACUGGAGCUCAGGUGUGUAGCAUUACCUUGUUUCUCUAUGGCUGGGAGUGCAAACAUUAUUGAUGUGUUUAUUUCCCAUUUUUUACUUUGGAGGUUUUGUUUUGUGAGACAAGCUCUCACUCUGUCAUGCAGCCAGGAGUGUAGUCAUGGCUCACUGCAGCCUUGACCUCCCGGGUUCAAGCCAUCUCGCCUCAGCCUCACAAAGUGCUGGGAAUACAAGUGUGGCCUACUUUUGAGCUUUGAGUUAUUUAUGUAUUGUAGACAUGAGUCUCUGGAGAUGCGUUCUUGGUCUGAUGGGGGUUUGUAAACAUUUUUCCCAAUCUGUAGCUUAUCUCUUCAUCCUCCUAAUUGAGUCUUUCAGAGAGCAAAAAUGUGGUCUCCCUUGAAGAUACUCUGCACCUGUAGCAGGAAAGCAGACACAGACAGUACAUAAAUGAACAUGUGGAUGUCCCUUGA